rnacentral:rRNA from 1 species
UACGUUGUCUGCUAUACGCAGGAAGACCCGUA